GAUGAACGCUAGCGGGAGGCCUAACACAUGCAAGCCGAGCGGUAUUUGUUCUUCGGAACAGAGAGAGCGGCGCACGGGUGCGGAACACGUGUGCAACCUGCCUUUAUCUGGGGGAUAGCCUUUCGAAAGGAAGAUUAAUACCCCAUAAUAUAUUGAGUGGCAUCAUUUGAUAUUGAAAACUCCGGUGGAUAGAGAUGGGCACGCGCAAGAUUAGAUAGUUGGUGAGGUAACGGCUCACCAAGUCAAUGAUCUUUAGGGGGCCUGAGAGGGUGAUCCCCCACACUGGUACUGAGACACGGACCAGACUCCUACGGGAGGCAGCAGUGAGGAAUAUUGGACAAUGGGUUAGCGCCUGAUCCAGCCAUCCCGCGUGAAGGACGACGGCCCUAUGGGUGGUAAACUUCUUUUGUAUAGGGAUAAACCUACUCUCGUGAGAGUAGCUGAAGGUACUAUACGAAUAAGCACCGGCUAACUCCGUG
rnacentral:rRNA from 1 species